UCUUGCGGAAGGAUCAUUA
rnacentral:rRNA from 1 species